rnacentral:lncRNA from 1 species
UCUGUGGUAAUUGUCAGGGAGUGUUACUGUUGUGUGGAGCCUUGCAGACCAGCACUUGACCUUCUUUAGCUGAUUUCUAUAGCUCCAACCACAUGUGAAGCCGCACCAACUCUGCAUUUUCUCCUCUCAGCAUUUUGCUAAGGUGCAAAGAAGAUACCUUAACCCUCAGGGUUUCAUGAUAACUAACCAACAUUUCAUAGAAAAAUGUGUUUCUCAGCUUUCUUCCUUUUACCAUGAGAAUGGUCAAUAAAGUGUGUGCUAAACCAACUCACAAAUGGCAUUUUAGAUGCUGAUGGGAGGAGAUGGAAAAGAGAGAGAAUUUUCCAAACCUGAAAAUAACCCUUGUUUCCAAAGUCACAGGUAAGCUUAGGCACCAUCUAGUUUGAACACAGCAUGGUACAGUUGAUGUUAUACUGUUUAGUAUGCGCUGAGUGCACAGAGGGA